AAUGGAAUUUUUAGGGACUUGAAGAGAGGCAGCUAGAUUGUGAACUAUAUUUCGUGUUUGUAACUUUGUUAUCGAAUCUUUAUCUUCCAGUCAUAUGGUUCAUGAAAAUAUUAUUGUUGCCACUAAACAUAAUAAAUAAAUAUAAAUACAACUUCCCAAACAAACAACUUUGAUAUACAUACGUAUUUCAAAAGAUAACCAGUUUAUGUUUUAAGCAAAAAAAAGUUUUUUUUGAUAUAUUCUCAUCGGCUAUCCAGACAAUUUAAAGAAAACACAUUUAGUGGUAUAGAGCAAACUGGUU
rnacentral:lncRNA from 1 species